rnacentral:rRNA from 1 species
GAUGAACGCUGGCGGCGUGCUUAACACAUGCAAGUCGAACGGUGAAGGCGGAACUUGCUCUGCUGGAUCAGUGGCGAACGGGUGAGUAACACGUGAGCAAUCUGCCCCUGACUCUGGGAUAAGCUCUGGAAACGGCGUCUAAUACUGGAUACGAGCUGCCAAGGCAUCUUCAGCAGCUGUAAAUAAUUUCGGUCAGGGAUGAGCUCGCGGCCUAUCAGCUUGUUGGUGAGGUAAUGGCUCACCAAGGCGUCGACGGGUAGCCGGCCUGAGAGGGUGACCGGCCACACUGGGACUGAGACACGGCCCAGACUCCUACGGGAGGCAGCAGUGGGGAAUAUUGCACAAUGGGCGAAAGCCUGAUGCAGCAACGCCGCGUGAGGGAAGACGGCCUUCGGGUUGUAAACAUCUUUUAGCAGGGAAGAAGCGAAAGUGACGGUACCUGCAGAAAAAGCGCCGGCUAACUACGUG